CAAUCACAUUUAUUUUCCUGACCUGCUGUGAGAAAGGGUUUGAGAUGUUACUGUCACAGUUAAAUUUUGACCAGAAGUAUGAAAGUAAGAAGCAUGAAGUACUCUUCAGCUGAGUAUGUAACUACAGUUUUUGGAUGUGUUACUUCCAGACAAAAGCACAUCUGGUAAUCUGGGGGAGGACUGAGACAAAGACAGUGCUACUGUGAAGCCUGUAACUUGCUCCUUCCUGAA
rnacentral:lncRNA from 1 species